UCCACAGUCAGUGCAUGCCAGUAUGACCUGCCAGACUUCGAUGAACGCCUCCCUGUCGGUUCCGGUGGGGAACUGGUAUGCCCUACUGGGAUACAGUACCAGCAGGACAGAAGGUCGGCCGGUUUACCGGGGAUAUGAUGAUAACAGUGACAAAGAAAAUGUGUUCUGGCGACAGGCAUACAUCCCUGCCUCUCACCGCGAAUCUGCUCAGGCUAGUGCAACGUACAGCCUUAAUAUGGCUGGCAUGAAUAUUAAUAC
rnacentral:misc_RNA from 1 species